rnacentral:tRNA from 1 species
CUACCAUUACCUCAGUUUGUAGAGCAAAGGGCUGUAGUUAUUACCAAAUCAGUAUGCCUUAGGUCACCGGUUCGACCCCGGUACGGUAGA